UACCAGCACCCCGAGUGGUCGGGACGAUUAUUGGGCCUAAAGCAUCCGUAGCCGGUUUUACAAGUCCCCCGUUAAAUCCAGCUGCUAAACAGAUGGGCUGCGGAGGAUACUAUAAGACUAGGAGGCAGGAGAGGCAAGCGGUACUCAGUGGGUAGGGGUAAAAUCCGUUGAUCCAUUGAAGACCACCAGUGGCGAAGGCGGCUUGCCAGAAUGCGCUCGACGGUGAGGGAUGAAAGCUGGGGGAGCAACCGG
rnacentral:rRNA from 1 species